ACUUGCCUUCACCAAACAGAUGCUCAGGGUCUUCAAUUUUGUAGAACUCGAAGAGUUCGAUCUCUUGAUCGCCGAAGCUUGACUGUCGAUUCCUCGAAGCUCGGAAAUGGAUCGCAGUCUAUUCGCAACGCGCGAAGAAUACAAACAGGCACAAGCAAACAUAUAUUUGCAUAAGAGCAUUACACCAUACAAGAUAAAAUAUUAUAAAAACGAGCAAUAUAAAAUAGAGAGCGCUUCUACGGUCACGCGGGGAUAAGGAGCGCGACGGUCGAAGCUACGGUCGAGAAAUUAUAACGUUUACGCUACGCAAGUAAUAGUCGAGACAUUUAAUUCUACAUUAUAAAAUAUAAAUUAUAACUGCUAUAUAGUUUUGAUUAAAUCUGCUACACUAACAGCUGUCAAAUAAAUAAGUGAUAUAAUUAGCACGAGAGAUUCUAAGCGAGGCGAGUUUACGAUGCGCGAAAUAGCAUGACAGCGUGCGAACAACACGCGGACACGCGCGACAUAGCACGCUGACGACGCACGAAAACGGUGCGUGCGACCAGCGCGAACGACGCGCGAACCAGCACGCCACCACAUGCGAAACAGCACGCGCGACAUGCGAGAAAACUAAAUAGAUGACGCGUUUAUACUAAACAAAUAUUAAAUAAAUAAAAAGUAGUUAAGUUAAUAUUAGCCAUAUGAAUGUUUAUUAUAAAAGCGCAAGUUAAACACUACACAUUUAAUCUAAUUGGGAUAUUAAUCCAAUAAAUAUUAGUAGAGCAAACCUUAAGUUAAUUAUCUAAAAUAUGUGACCUGACGAAUUAACGUUAUUAACAUGAGUGUUUAUAAGCGAAAACAAUUUAUUAUCACACGUAGACGCCGCGACACACGAACCAGACGCGCAGCACGAACACGCGAAGGAAUGACGACGACGCGCGCGACAACAUGCGAGUAGUGCGAUAGCGCGCGAACGAUGCACAACGACGCGCGCGACACAGACGUCACGUUUACAUUAAACAAAUAUUAGUUAAAAACAUCUUAGUCGGCACUAACCACAUUAAUUUGCAUCUACAAAAUCGCCAUUUAAAACUAUACCUUUAUUUUAAUUAUAAUGUCAUUCAAAUAAACCUCGGAUUAACUAUCUAAUUAACGAAAAUAUGUGUUGCGGCCAAAUAAUAUUACUAACCGAUAGUCGAUGUUAUUACGAAGUCACUACGACUGAAACGAGUUGAGACGGACUCGCAACGCAACAUAUAUAUUGAUUAACUAGCAUUUUCUCGGAUCUAAAAUAUAUGGCGCGAUUCUUUUGGUCGAAAAUGUGCCACACGAUGGACCACAUGGGCCAUAACUGUAGACAAUCUUUAGGAUCUAUGGUAUUAAGGGGAAUAUGAGGUUGAAUGGCAUGCAAGUGGGGGCCACAUGAUGCACGACUUGUGGUGGGUUGGACGGCAACAAAAGGCACAUGCAGGGGAGACGCAUCGCGCAUGCAGGUGGGGGCCACGGGAGGUUUUUUCCAGCUUUCGCUGCAUGCAAAUCAGGAGUUCACAAGGCGGUUCCUAAUUCCACUUUUCCUGCAACCGCACACACGCAUGACCGUUUUGAACGGAACCUUGGACGACGGCAACAACCGAGCACUGGUGACCCAGCUUAGGGAAGGCGGCUGCGUGGGAGGGGAGACAUGCAACCGCAUGGGCGAGCAGGGACCAGGGAGGCACGGCCUGCUGCACAGCGCAGGCCCAAGCAGGGGCUGGCCGCAACGCGCGCUGCGCUGGCUGCGCAGGCUGUCUGCCGCGCCGGUGGCCAGGUCUGGCGGCGCGCCGGAGCAGCGCAGGCAGACCGCGGCAAGCGGCUGCAACCAUAGGCGGCGGCGCAACAGCGGCGAGACGGGGCUGGGAAGUGCCGCCAGCCAUCAGGCGGGUGUAGCGGCCCUCACCGGAGUGAUGCGCACGACCAUGCCUGUGGGGGCGGGGCACGGCGGCCACUGUGCACGUAGGAAGGGGAGGGCGCACCGGCCGCGGCGCACAGCCUGAGCAGGCAAGCGCGUUGAGCGAGCAGAGUAGCGCGGGCAGCAGGAUCACGGCGCACGGGGCGAGGCUAGCAGUGCGGAGCACGAGAUGCACGCAGGGCCCACACCCGAUUGACGAGGUGCCGCAGCCGAGCGAUGGCCUGCAGGCGUGCGUGGCCGGCAGGGGUGGCUGAUGGGGCCAUGACCGGGAGGGAGGAAGGGAAUUAAGGAAGCGAUGGCAUGCUGCUCCAAUACGCAAAAGGCUAACAGGUACAUGAGCGAACAGUGAUGAACAAUUCACAAACAUACAGGCAGCCCAAGGAUCAUCGACGGAGGAAACACAUCUUUGAAACAGAGAUUAAAUGAAAUCUAUGGAUAGGAUCAGAGAUCUGGAAGCAGUGCUGUGUACGUGAUGGAGUAGGGAUGAAAGUGGUAAUCCGAACUGUUAGAACAAAUUUAAUAUUUUAAAAUAGAUAUGUAUAAAAUUUGAUGUUAAUCUUUUCUUAUGUUAUCAAGCACAUUAGUACAAAUAUGAAUAAAAUAUUAUAUAAGUUGUUUUAUGAAUUAUUUGCUCUCUACAACACAAAAAGUUGAAAAAAUUACCGAAUUUGUUUCCGAAUCCAUACCGAAGUUUAUAUCUAUUAUUUGAGAAAAUAUAGGAUGAAUUUGAGGUUUACCUUUUAUGAAUCUUAACAAGCUAGAUGUUAAAAACAAGAAUACAAAUUUGUAUUGUAUAUUCUAUAUCCUAUUUAUUCGCAAUCAAAGAAAAAACUGAUUACCGAAUAAAUACCGUUUCCGACCGUUUUCAUCCCUAGAUGGAGAGAGGGACACGAUGUUACCUUCCGAUGAAGCGAUGCAUGGUCAGAUCUUGAACAGCGGAUCACCAGAAUUGGAGAAGACAAGGUGUUAUUUUGGUUGGCG
rnacentral:lncRNA from 1 species